rnacentral:rRNA from 1 species
CCUACGGGAGGCAGCAGUGAGGAAUUUUCCGCAAUGGGCGAAAGCCUGACGGAGCAAUACCGCGUGAGGGAUGAAGGAUUUUGGUCUGUAAACCUCUUUUCUCAAGAAAGAAGUUCUGACGGUACUUGAGGAAUAAGCAUCGGCUAACUCCGUGCCAGCAGCCGCGGUAAUACGGGGGAUGCAAGCGUUAUCCGGAAUGAUUGGGCGUAAAGCGCCUGUAGGUUGUUUAUUAAGUCCGUUGUUAAAGCCUAGGGCUCAACCCUAGAAAAGCAAUGGAAACUAGUAGACUAGAGUAUGGCAGGGGUAGAGGGAAUUUCUAGUGUAGCGGUGAAAUGCGUAGAUAUUAGAAAGAACACCGGUGGCGAAAGCGCUCUACUGGACCAUUACUGACACUCAGAGGCGAAAGCUAGGGUAGCAAAAGGGAUUAGAUACCCCUGUAGUCCUAGCCGUAAACGAUGGAUACUAGAUGUUGUGCAUUAUGUACAGUAUCGUAGCUAACGCGUUAAGUAUCCCGCCUGGGGAGUACGCUCGCAAGGGUGAAACUCAAAGGAUUGACGGNNGAGAGNGCGAGACGACGACGAGGAGAG